UGAAACCCCUCUCCUCUCUCUCUCUCUAGCUCGCUCUCUGGCCGGCCACCUUUUCCUCUCAUUUUUCCGGCGGUUUCUCUAUCUCUGGCAGCCUCUUUGGCGGUGUUCUCUGUCUCGGGCGGCGGAAUCCAUCUCCGAUAUUCUAAUCGGUCAAUGACCUCUUCCAUCCUCGGUUGUAUCUCCUUGGCAAAAGGAUUAAGAAGAACAGAGACCGAGUUUCGUACCUUUAUUGCAGUGGUUCGAGAUUCAGCAGCCAGCUCGCGUCUCUGGAUUUCCGUAUCAAUCUCAUCCAACAUGUCUUCGGCAUCAAAAACAGCAUCUUUCAGCUCAUCGAGCCACUCUUUCACAGCAAGCUUCCUGAGUUCCUUAUCCUCCGCGUCCUCCAGCACCGCAUUCACAGACAGCAAUGCUAUCUUCAGUUUUCUUAAGGGCCCAUCGAUCGGCGAGUUUUCGUCCCCAAAAGAUGUCAAAGACCUCUCGAGUCAUUUUUUCAAAUAACUCCUGCAAGACUACAGAGAGAAGCGCUCCGCCCACAACAUCGGCCAUGUUUUCUUCUUUGCAGCGGAAAAACAAUCGAAGGAAAUGAAUAAAAGUGCUCUGUAGAUUAAAUCAUGAAAGGUCAUUUGGGAAUACGAAGAAGGAAAAAGAUUUCUGCACAAUAAUAUUGCAUAAUAAAUGUACAACAUAUAAGAUACAUGGGUCUCACUUAUGCAAUGUGUGUUUUUUUUCUUUUUUCUUUUUUUUUUUUCCUUUUUUUUUUUCCUUCUUUUAAGGUAAGUGUAUGUUUUCUUAACUUAUCAAGGAAAUACAUCUGUUUUCCAGUUUCGGAUACACCUUCUAAAGUUUCUUGGACCAAGAUAUUCUUCAUGAAAUGGGUCAUAUAUAAUAGUUUAUAUGUGUGUGUCCCUCAUGUA